UACGGGGGGGGCAAGCGUUGUUCGGAAUUACUGGGCGUAAAGGGCUCGUAGGCGGCCAACUAAGUCGGACGUGAAAUCCCCGGGCUCAACCUGGGAACUGCAUCCGAAACUGCCUUGCUCGAGUAUGGGAGAGGGAAGCGGAAUUCCCGGUGUAGUGGUGAAAUGCGUAGAUAUCGGGAGGAACACCAGUGGCGAAGGCGGCUUCCUGGCCUGUUCUUGACGCUGAGGCGCGAAAGCUAGGGGAGCAAACGGG
rnacentral:rRNA from 1 species